UACGUAGGGGGCAAGCGUUAUCCGGAAUCAUUGGGCGUAAAGCGCGUGUAGGCGGUUCCGUAAGUCCGCUCUGAAAGCCCAGGGCUCAACCCUGGGAGGCGGGUGGAUACUACGGAACUGGAGUACGGAAGAGGAGAUUGGAAUUCCUGGUGUAGCGGUGAAAUGCGCAGAUAUCAGGAGGAACACCAACAGCGAAGGCAGAUCUCUGGGACGUUACUGACGCUGAGGAGCGAACGAAGCGUGGGGGAGCAAACAGG
rnacentral:rRNA from 1 species